GUACCCUCUGCUCGCAGCUCCUCUGAGCACGCCGUCUCAUCAUCACCGUCAUGAAUCAUCGUAGGAAAGUCCUAAAUCCCAGAGUUUGCAAUGUUAUAAAACUCACAACCUUUGGAAGGAACUAACCUCUUGCGGGUCAGGCAAAUUGGAGCUGAUAUAAUGCAAAGUGCACGGUGGUGGAUUUUAUUUAUUAUUAUUAUUUUUAGAUUUAUUCAUCAGUCCGUGCAGGAGGAAGUGAAGCCAUCACUGGAUACAAACGUAGGACAAGUGCAGCGUCAUGAGCGUGUAGAGGGAGGUGGAGAGCCGGGAGAGGCUUUGCUGAGGGAGUGGUAUUCAGAAGAACGAGAGUCAGGGUAUUUGAAACAUCUGACUUAUGCAAGACCACAGGGAAGAGGUUGCUGGCAUGACAUCCUCCACACUGUACCUGGCUCCUGUCACCUGCCAUAUCACCUCCUGCCCCACCUCCUCCUUCAAACCUCAACACAGGGUUGUAUCAGCAUUUAAGGGCUGCGCAGCAAGCACCCCACGCCUCUAAAUGAAUGUGACCUUCCAGCUUAGAGGAGUUUUCUCCACUCAAGGACAUGUCUUCUAGGCCUUCGUCCAGUCAAUUCACAAAAGCUUCAACAUGGAACAUGGACUAACGCAAAAUCCUGCCAUAUGCCACUUUCCUCCAGAACAGUGAAGACCCUUGUACCGUUUAUUCAUUGUUCAGCCAACCAGGCUUUUGUGUAACAACGCUCUUGACCAUCCACAUCCUGGGUCAUCGCUGAGAAAGAGCUUCACAAAGGCAUCAUUCACAAGUUUUGGGUGUGGGAUACCAAAAACUGUGAUGGCAGCCGACAUUUGCUGACACCACUGUGUGAAGAGGUGGUGGCACUAAAUUGUCAUGAGGAUCCUACAUAUGGAGUACAAUUGUUAUCCCUGUUCAACAGAUGGGGAAACUGAGACUUAGAAACGUUCAAGAACUUUCCCCAAAUUACAGACUAGAAAGUCAGGGAGCUGGCUCUGAUCCCUGGCAGACUGGCCUGAAUGCCAUGGUCUCGACUUACAUUGGAUUGGUGCUAAAUGUCAGCAGGUGUCUGAUGUAUUUUAAAUAAUUAUCGACUCUAUCAUGGAUAGUGGUCAAAUUCUUUUCUGGAUUAAUUUGAAGUAAGGAGUAGAUGGGUCUCUUCGGGGGAUAGUUUGAUAAUAUUCUUGUUAAGGAUGGAGAGAGUCUUAUGCUGCUUUGUUCCUUCCAGGCUAAACUCGCCCUUUAGGUUUUCUUCCAUCCAGCAGCAGGCGCUCUGUCAGGUGCAAUAUGAUCACCAUGGUGACAUGUUCUCUUUUAAAAUGCAAGGGCAAAUACACCUAAAAAAUGGUAUUGCCAACUGCUUUCGUGGAGUCAUUAUGACUUUAGCCAGAACAAUGAAGACCCUUGUACCCUUUAUUCAUUGUUUAGCCAACCAGGCAUUCAAGUAACAAUGCUCUUGCUCAUUCACAUCUGGGUCAUCACUGAGAAAGAGCAUCACAGAGGCACCGUGCAUGUGGGUGUGGGUUACCAACAUGACAUAGCUCACGCUGCAAGCCAUGCCACUGAGCAUCGUGUUUCUCAAUGGCCUCCCGAGGCAGAAAACGCAGAUGUUGGCACCAUGAUGUACUCGUGGGUAAUGGUUGCUGAGCUUCGAAACGACUUUGGGUAGAACUGCAGUGUCUUAAACAAGAAAAGUCAUUUAAAUUCCACUUGCCCAGUCCUGCUCAUGGAGAGUGAUAAGAAGAGGAAUAAAAGGGCUUUUUCUGGUGAUUUUUGGGUAACU
ensembl:lncRNA